GACGAACGCUGGCGGCGUGCUUAACACAUGCAAGUCGAACGGAAAGGCCCUGCUUGCAGGGUACUCGAGUGGCGAACGGGUGAGUAACACGUGGGUGAUCUGCCCUGCACUUCGGGAUAAGCCUGGGAAACUGGGUCUAAUACCGGAUAGGAGCCAUUCUUAGUGUGAUGGUUGGAAAGUUUUUUCGGUGUGGGAUGAGCUCGCGGCCUAUCAGCUUGUUGGUGGGGUAAUGGCCUACCAAGGCGGCGACGGGUAGCCGGCCUGAGAGGGUGGACGGCCACAUUGGGACUGAGAUACGGCCCAGACUCCUACGGGAGGCAGCAGUGGGGAAUAUUGCACAAUGGGCGCAAGCCUGAUGCAGCGACGCCGCGUGGGGGAUGACGGCCUUCGGGUUGUAAACUCCUUUCGCUAGGGACGAAGCUUGUUGUGACGGUACCGAGAUAAGAAGCACCGGCUAACUACGU
rnacentral:rRNA from 1 species